rnacentral:tRNA from 1 species
GGAGAGAUGGCCGAGCGGCCGAAGGCGCACGCCUGGAACGCGUGUAAUGGUAAUCCCAUUCGUGGGUUCAAAUCCCACUCUCUCCGCCA